GGCCGCAGUAUAUUAACUGUGCAAAGGUAGCAUAAUCAUUAGUUUUUUAAUUGAAAGCUUGUAUGAAAGGCUGGACGAGGUAAAUUCUGUCUCUAUUUAAAUUAGGUUAGAAUUUAAUUUUUAAGUUAAAAAGCUUAAAUUUUAUUAAAAGACGAGAAGACCCUAUAGAGCUUUAUAAUUUAUUAAAUAAGAUUAAUUUAGUUUUAUUAGUAUUUUUUUUGAUAAAUUAUUUUAUUGGGGUAAUAGAAAGAUUAAAUUAAUUCUUUUUUUUUUAUAAACAUAGAUUUAUGAAUAUAAUGAUCCAAUUUUAUUGAUUAAAAGAUUAAGUUACCUUAGGGAUAACAGCGUAAUUUUUUUAGAGAGUUCAUAUCGAUAAAAAAGUUUGCGACCUCGAUGUUGGAUUAAAGAUUAUUUUAGGUGUAGAAGCUUAAAAAUUUUGGUCUGUUCGACCAUUAAAUCUUUACAUGAUCUGAGUUCAGACCGGUGUAAGCCAGGUCGGUUUCUAUCUUUAUAUAAUUAAAAUAUUUUAGUACGAAAGGACCAAAUAUUUGAUAUAUUUAUAUUUUAAUAUUUAAGAAUAUUAAUAAUAAUUAUUAUUUUGGCAGAUUAGUGCAAUGAAUUUAGAAUUCAUUUAUGUAAAUUUUUACAAAUAAUAUUGUUUUAUAUAGAUAUUAUAUUUUCUAUUAUUUGUAUAUUAUUAUUAGUUAUUUGUGUUUUAGUGGGAGUUGCUUUUUUAACUUUAUUAGAACGUAAAG
rnacentral:rRNA from 1 species